GACGAAUCGAGCGAACGUUGUUCGGAAUCACUGGGCUUAAAGGGCGCGUAGGCGGGUGCUCAAGUCCGGGGUGAAAUCCCACGGCUCAACCGUGGAACUGCUUGGUAUACUGCUUUUCUUGAGCCACUUAGGGGCAACCGGAACAAACGGUGGAGCGGUGAAAUGCGUAGAUAUCGUUUGGAACGCCAAUGGUGAAAACAGGUUGCUGGGAGUGUGCUGACGCUGAGACACGAAAGCCAGGGGAGCAAACGGG
rnacentral:rRNA from 1 species